GAUGAACGCUGGCGGCGUGCCUAAUACAUGCAAGUCGAGCGAACGGACGAGAAGCUUGCUUUUCUGAUGUUAGCGGCGGACGGGUGAGUAAUACGUGGAAAACCUACCUAUAAGACUGGGAUAAUUUCGGGAAACCGGAUCUAAUACCGGAUAAUAUUUUGAACCGCAUGGUUCAAAAGUGAAAGACGGUCUUGCUGUCACUGAUAGAUGGAUCCUCGCUGCAUUAGCUAGUUGGUAAGGUAACGGCUUACCAAGGCAACGAUGCAUAGCCGACCUGAGAGGGUGAUCGGCCACCCUGGAACUGAGACACGGUCCAGACUCCUACGGGAGGCAGCAGUAGGGAAUCUUCCGCAAUGGGCGAAAGCCUGACGGAGCAACGCCGCGUGAGUGAUGACGGUCUUCGGAUCGUAAAACUCUGUUAUUAGGGAAGAACAUAUGUGUAAGUAACUGUGCACAUCUUGACGGUACCUAAUCAGAAAGCCACGGCUAACUACGUG
rnacentral:rRNA from 1 species